AAACAAAACAAGCGUUGAAAACCUUGCAAAUCAUGAAAAUUUGGGACCCAAUUUGCUUCAUCUCGAUCACUCCCUUUGUGCAUUUGAGCAUUAAUUUAUUGUCAAAUUGGCCAUUCCGUCAUUUCCAUAAUCUGCUGAUGGUCAGGAAAAUAAUCAUUGUCCGGAUGUUGCUUGCAAAUAUAAACUUCUUCAAGUUAUUGGAGGAUGGAUAACCAGGUAAGUCAAUCAAUUUUUAUCAUGUUGUUCUUUUCUUUGUCUUUUAUCAUUUGGUAGUAGUCCUUGUAUGUCCAUGUCAUAUCAGUCUUUGCAACUUGGGACAUUAUCGGCAUCUCCACUAUACCUGUAUAUUAGGUUUUGUGUGAUUCAUUGUUACUUUAUGAGUGUGUCACAUUUACCCUAAAAAGACGGAACCAACCAUUUUGCAAAGGGACAAAACGAAAACUCUUUUCAUGCAUUGAUAACUAUUUGGUUUAUUCAAUGCAAGUUAGUAGUUCA